rnacentral:rRNA from 1 species
GAUGAACGCUGGCGGCGUGCCUAAUACAUGCAAGUCGAGCGAACAGACGAGGAGCUUGCUCCUCUGACGUUAGCGGCGGACGGGUGAGUAACACGUGGAUAACCUACCUAUAAGACUGGGAUAACUUCGGGAAACCGGAGCUAAUACCGGAUAAUAUAUUGAACCGCAUGGUUCAAUAGUGAAAGGCGGUUUUGCUGUCACUUAUAGAUGGAUCCGCGCCGCAUUAGCUAGUUGGUAAGGUAACGGCUUACCAAGGCAACGAUGCGUAGCCGACCUGAGAGGGUGAUCGGCCACACUGGAACUGAGACACGGUCCAGACUCCUACGGGAGGCAGCAGUAGGGAAUCUUCCGCAAUGGGCGAAAGCCUGACGGAGCAACGCCGCGUGAGUGAUGAAGGUCUUCGGAUCGUAAAACUCUGUUAUUAGGGAAGAACAAAUGUAUAAGUAACUAUGCACGUCUUGACGGUACCUAAUCAGAAAGCCACGGCUAACUACGUG